rnacentral:sRNA from 1 species
UUUAACCAUUUUUAAAAUUACGAAAAACCGUUUCGCCAAUAUUAUUAAAAAUUGGAUUUGCGAACAAAUUAACCAAAAAAAAAGGACGAUUUAAAAAAAUAUUAUUUACCAUUUCCAAAAAUUAAAAACCGAUUAGGAUUCGAAAUUAUACCACCAAACGAAUUUAUAAAAAAACGAUUAAUAUGCAAUAUAAAAUAAAAACACCAAAAAAACGACGUAUUAACGGAAUAGUGCGUAAAAAUAUUUAUUUUAUUUAAUAACGAAAAAUUUAAAAAAUCCAUCGGAAAAAUCGAAUUCCAAACAAAAUUAGAAUCCGGAAAAAGCGAUUUUAAGGAUAUUUUAAAUAAAAUUUCGGUUAAUUGUUAACGUUCCUCCUAUUCCGUUUUUUUAUAUUCCACCCGAUUUAAUUUCUCCAAAUUAUUAAUUCCGCGAAAUAUAAUUCGCAUUAUUUUUUCAAACCACAAUUUUUUUUAUUUUCGCAAAUAAAAUAAUUUCGCCUGUUAUAUAUAGAUUUAUUUUUUAAACGCCUCGAUUUCCGCAUUUAAUUUCGAAUAUUGGCGAUUAAUAUAACGGAUUUAAACAGCGGAUAAACCCAAUAUAUUAUAUCCAAAACGAUUGGAACAAAUAUAUUUUAUAUAGCGAAUAAAAUUUUAAAAAAAUAUUUAACAAAACGUUGCGCCUUUAAUACGGUAGGGAUUGCAAAAAAAUAUUUUAACGGUAUCCGUCGAUAAUAGGGAAAAAAAAAGGGCGUGGCGAUAUUUUGUCGAUAAACGACCAAAUUUUGGUUUAGUUACACGAUUAAAUAUGGCGCAAAAAAAUUAAUUAGGAAGGAAAAAAAACCAAAAUAAAAAUUAAAAAAAUACGGAUUAUUUAAAAAUUAAAAAAAUUUGGCCAAAAAAAACUUAAUAUUACGACCAAAUAAUU